rnacentral:rRNA from 1 species
GACGAACGCUGGCGGCGUGCUUAACACAUGCAAGUCGAACGGUGAAGCGCCUUCCUUUUUGGUGGGGGUGGAUGAGUGGCGAACGGGUGAGUAACACGUUAGUAACCUGCCCCCUUCUUCUGGAUAACCGCAUGAAAGAGUCGCUAAUACGGGAUAUUCUGGGUCUGUCGCAUCAUGGGUCUGGGAAAGAUAUUGUUUCGGUGGGGGAUGGGCUCGCGGCCUAUCAGCUUGUUGGUGGGGUGAUGGCCCACCGAGGCGGUGAGGGGUAGCCGGCCUGGGAGGAUGGGCCGUAACAGUAGGGCGGAACGGCGGCGAAGACUACGGGAGGAAGCAGCGGGGAGGAUUGUUGCACGGGGGGAGGAAGGCUGAUGCAACGACGCCGGGGGGAGGAUGGAGUCCUUCGGGUAGAGAACCUCUUUCGCGAAAGAAGCAGGCCUGCCUCGUUUGUGCGUGGGUUGACGGUAGCUGAAUAAGAAGCGCCGGCUAACUACGUG